ACAGGGCUGCUGGUUUUGAAGGCCUUUCCUGGGAGGUUCCACAGGGAAGCUGACCAAGCUGGCACACAGGGCUCCCAGUACCAUUGCUUUGGAAAAAUAUUUACAUGAAUUAGAGUUACAUAGAGGGAUUAUUUGCUUUAUGCUGUAAAACAGCAGAUCUGAGUGUUUCCGUCUAAUGAAGCCUGACACUCUCCGCCAGCCUCCCAUCCAGGACAGUCGCUCACGCCUCUCCUCCAGAGCAGCUGCCCAGGGAGACACAGACCCGCUGGAUGGCUGUGGACAGAGCGGGACCAAGGCAAGUCCUGAAGUCACAGCGCCCCGGACCCAAACGGACCUCGCUCCGCUUGGUAGGAGCGCUGCUGAGAAAGGAAAGCGACGGACGUUCGGGAAGAGGCCGCCUGCCCCACCUGCGAGCCUUCCAUCACAGGCAGAUCCUUUUUGGUUGAAUUUCUUUCCUGAUCCCAGCUAUGGCUUCCUUUUUUUUCUUUAUCGCUUGCAGUGUUUUCAGGUGGAUUCCUGUGUCUAUAGAUUCUGGGAUUCUUUUGGUGGCAAGUGACAGAAAGCCGAUUCAGAUUUGCUCUAACGACUGGGAUACUUACCUGCUUGUGCAGCUGACGUUGGGACUGUCUUUUCCCCUUCUUUCCCAUUUCUCUAGGCCAGCUUGGUGCCGUGCAUGCUUCCAUGCAGCCAACCCUAGGACUAACAUCCGUUGACCUGACUGGGGUCAAGGGUGGAGGUGGGGCUUGUGGGUGGAGGGUAGAGCUGCUGCCUGCCCGAAGGGAAGUGACGUGGUUGGGACCAGAAGAAUGACAGGUGGAGGCUGGUGGGAAAACCGGGGAGGGGGGCUCUCAUCACUGUGGGAGGGGAAUCAGCCUGGAGAACUUCGAGCUGUCUGCUCCCAUCGGUUUCCAGACAGUAGAGGGAGGAGAGGGCUGUCUCCGGAGAAGCAUCUGUGGUCCGAAGCGCAGCCCUCUAGAAGCUCCCGCUCCUGACUUUCGGCGUCCUGCCCGAGGGCAUGCUCACUUUGGUAGUGGCUGGGGUAGGGGACCCACUGGGAGCCUGGCCUGCCUUCUCGGUGUACUGAUGGCCCUGCAGUCCAUGCUGGGGAGGGAGCCCAUCAGUCAGCACCUGCCCCCAGUGAAAGUGAAGGAGUGUUGCAUCCAGCGUCACUGAGGACGCCGGCAGGGUUGAUGGCAGGUGCAGAGUGAGAUGUGGGCGAGGCCAUGGUAGCAAGGCCUGGAGACCUGCAUCCUGCCUGGCGGCCUCGCUGAGCCACCAGACUCCAGAAAGAUCUUCAGCACGGGCGUGCCUGCUCCUUCAGUUGUGAAGGAGUCUUCAGCAGGGGUCUGAGCCCCUGCCCGGGAGACACCAGUGUUCUCUGAGAGGUUUCUUCCUUGCGUGGAAGCCCUUUCAAGUGGUGAUGGUGUCUGGGGCGGGGCUAGGGCCAAGGGUAAAGGCCCAGGGCCUGAACAGUGGGCAAGGCGAGAUAGUGGGCUAAGUGCUGAGAGAGCAGCCCCAGCGCCAGCCCCCAGAGUUCAGGGGGUACCCUUGUUUCGACAACUUUUUAUUUUGGAGGUGUUCAGAGCCCUUUAUAAAGCCCACCUCGUUCCUUCUCCGGUUAACUCAGAGUGUGUGGGGGGCUAUGGGAUUGAAUGCGUUGCCUGGAGGUUGGCGGUCUGUGCAUCUGGGAAAUCACUGGACAUGGGGUCUGGCCCACCCCCUCCAAGACCAGCAAGAGGAAGGCGCUGUCACGAUAGAGGAGUCUGAGAGGAUUAGCAAGAGGGCCAGCGCCAGCCGAGAUGGGCAGCACGCCCCAGCCCAGGGUGGUGUUUUUCCCGCACUCGGGCCAGAGCUGGGGGGCAGUUCAGGGGUCCCUGGAAGGCAGAUGUUCUGGCACCCUGUGGCCACCGGCUUCGCUGUCACUUCUGAUUGUCGGGCCUCAGCUCUGCGGUCUGCGUGACCGGGGAGGUGUGUAGCCAUGUGGAUCUCCAGCACCCAGCUCUGAGCCAGGGGGUGCACCGGCCCUGGGCCCUGAUGCAUGUGGGCUGCUGGGCUGCAGUCGGAGGUGAGGACCCAAGCGUGAGGGGCUGCCAGCACCGAGCCCGGCUCAUCAGACCCCAGCCUGGGCGGCCCAGGAGUAAAGGGCUGGGAGCGGGGAAAAUGAAAGUGCGUCUCUUCAUCAGCUUAUUUUUAGGCGUGUUAUAUAAGUGGUUUCAUCUCAGCGUCACGUAGGGAGGGGGGUCUCAGAUUUAAUUACAGGAUGACAGCCUUUGCUUUUCAAGCAAGCUGUUCUCCUGGCAGGCAGGCACAAGGAUUUGUGAAUUUUUGCUAAACAGGAGCCCUUUCUGAGGUGGCUGCCCAGCAAAACUUUGAAGGGCUUUCACCUCCGUGUCUCUUUUUGCCUAACCUGGUUUCUGCUGAGCUUGGUCUAAGGGGCGGCCAUUCGGCUCAGAUCACAGGGACAUGUGUGCUUGCUUGGCAAGGGGGCCGUUUCUCUCUCCCUCCGCCUUCCUCCUUCCUCCUUCCUCCCGGCUUUCAGAGAAGGAGCCAGCCAAUCCAGACUCCUCCUCCUUUCCUCCUUCCUGGAUUAAAGCACUCAUAAUCGGUAACUAGAAAGUUCCAGGGCCAGAGGGACGGGCAUUCCUAGCAGGACCUCACCUUUCCCAUCCAACCUGGCCUGCACUGCUGACCCCGUCCACAGCAGGUGCACCAGGCGACUGGCCUGGGCCAGGGUUACAGCACAACUGUUCGAAUUGUGUCCGGAGGACUGUUUUCUGGGUCCUGGCCAGGCCCAUGUUCUCCGUGACCAUCCGCAGUAUCAGCAAGAAAGGUUGGAGACGCCUUGAGCUGGCGGAGUCCUGCCUCCUACCAGCAGGAAGGUCUCCUCAGUGGCCUCCAGCACACCGCGGCUUUGUCCGGCACAAAAGGACAGCCGUGUCCUGCCCCUGGGUGAGGUCUGGUGUCUGCCAGCUGGGUGUGCUGUUGAGGGAGUGGACGCAGAGUGGAGGAAGAGCUGGUUACCAGGAGCCAGUCACCGGCACAGCCCAGUGGGGCCUGAGUGCUUCCCCGGCCUCUGUGGGCCCCACCCUGGGGGAGGUGGGCAGGGGCACCUGCCGCAGAGCCUCGGGAGAUCAGAGGUGCAAACAGCAGGAAAAACACCAAGAACUGUGCCUGGCAUGUGAUGAACCUUCAAAUGUUUUAGAGAUUAUCGUCAAUACCCUUAGACGGACGUUUCUAGAAAGCACCCAGAUGCCGUGUAGAAAGGCACAUGAGAAGCUGCCCUUUAAAAAGUGGGGGUCCCUCAAGAAGACUCCCAGCCCUUACGUGUGGGCCGUGUGUGGCCACCGCCUUCCAGGGAGUGCGUGAGAAGAGCUUUGCUGGGAGACGCUGGCCAGCACCCCUCAGCGAGGGAGCCAGCUCACACCACGGUGACCCCAUGUGGCCCUGACGUGAGAGAAGGCCCUUCAGCUCUGUGGCCUUUCCCCCAGAACCCAUCACCCAGUGUAACAGCUAUAGAAACGUCACAUAUCCCGAUGGAGGGACGGCCCCAGCACCCCAUCUGGCACCCCCAGAACUGCCAGGCCCCCCAAAACCAAGGGACGUGAGAGACAGCUCAGCCCAGAGGUGCCUGGGGAGACGAGACAACCGGGGCAGAGAGACAGAGGACAGGAAAACCAAGGAAAGCUGAACAAAGCGUGGACUUCUGUUCACAACAGGGAGGCUGGUUCCUGACUUGUGACCGACCUGCGCGCUGGCAGGACGGGCCGAUGAUGGGAAAUGCAGGUGGUGUAUCUUUGCAAUAAUUGUGUAUAUUCAAAACUGCCUGAAACUAAAGUUUAUCAAAGAAAGGACACCAGCAUCUUUGGCGCCAGCCUCUCUGCAGCCUGCACACCCCCCCUGAACCCCACCUCUGUGGCGCCAGCAGGUAGAGCAGUCGGCCGGUCCCCGCAGAGGGUGCCCAGGUCUGUGGACGGCAGCGUGGCUCCGUGCUGGAGGGUGGCCCUGUGUGAGGCCACAGCCUUACAGGGAGGCCAGGGUGGGGCGGCCCAGGCCGAUCUCCUGCCGCCCCAGAUGAGGGUCAUCUCCCUCCCUGCUCCCCAGCUGUUUCCUCGCAUUUGCACUUUCCCCAAAACCUGCUCAUUCUUGACCUGAACUCGGUUGAAAGGCUUUCUCCUCUGUAGGCAAAACGUUGGCCCUAGACAGGACAGAUUCAGCCUGCUCCUGGAGGGAUCUGUGCCCUUACCUUGUCUGUCCCCCAGGGAGCACAGACGUGGGAGCACAGGGCGUGCCUAGAAGGGAGGUCUGAGCUGAGCCCUGCCUGGGAAGGGACGCUGUCUCUAAGGCCAGGAGCUGGCUUGGCUGUCCCACGAAGAGGAAGACAGGAUCAGGUGUGGCCUCCAGGCCCCUCCUGGCCGAUAGUUACCGGGGGCUUAGCGUCAGCUCUCCUAGCCUGGCAGCCUGGAGCGUUCCCCCAGCUUCCCUGCUGGCCAGGCUGGCAGGAGGGCCGGAGGGGGUCCUCACAGGUGGAGGAGCCAGGAGGUGCUGGCCGCGUGGCAGGGCUGGGUGGGAGAGGUUCCCCAGCAACCGGCCUCCUUACAUAAUCCUCGCGCCUCGGCGUGACUCCAGGGGCCGUGGGAGGCGGCGCGGGGGUGAGCGCCGGGGCGCGAAGAGGCUCCGACUUUCGGGGCUCCUCCCCCCUCUGCAUGUCCGCGUCAUCCCGAGUCUGCCAGCUCAGGCACCCACCUGCUGAUGGGGACGCGGUAGCUGACAGUGCGGAUUUAAAUCGCCCCGCCCCUGGGCCUCCGUGUGCCCAGGUGGGGCGGGAAGGCAGGGGGCCCCCAGGGGCCCCCUUCUGUGCAGGGGGGGUGGUUGGGGGGGUCAGGGCCCUUGGGGGGGCCGCUGAGACCACGAGGCCCUGGGUGCACGGGCGGCGGUCACUCCAAGGCCCGGGAGGGACGGGAAGACGUGGCUGCCCCAUGCUUGUUCCCCCUCCGCCCCAAGCCGGGUUUCUCUCUCCUUGUCAGCGGACUUGAGCGGCCCGACGGUGAUGUUGGAAAGGGGGUUUGGCGCAGAGAGGAGGCGACAUGUUCUCUGGAGUCGGGGGGCUCGGGGGACGCCCUGGAAAACAGGGCCUGGCCUGGCCCAGCGGCCCUCCCCGUCCAGGCGCCCCCCGCCCCUGGGCGCUGCCGGAGACUGCAGACGGCGCUGCCUGGCGCACACAGAUGGCUCCCCGGCCCGGGGCCGCUGCUUCUAAUUUCAGCUGCCGGAGGCUCCGCUCGCUCUUUUUUUAUUCCAUGUUUAUUUAAAGCCGGAUUUUAAAAUGUUGUCUUCAGCCCUGAAAUCUGACUUUUUCUUCUCGCUGCAGAUCCUGAAACCCCCCAGGGGAGUAUUGAGGCCCACUCAGGCUGGGCCUGUGGGUCACCUGCUGGGGGGGGACAAAGCUGACCCACUGUCUGGCAUGGACAUGGACAUCUGCCAAGACUGGCCCAGCAGCGUGUCCCUGGUUCCCAACUGUGGCUGCCCAGUCGUCUCCCUGUCUGGGGUGGCUCCUAAUGUGGGGGCCUGUCCAGGGCCAGGUGUGUCCCCUGGACGUGGCACAGGGACCAGUGGGCGGCUUCUGCCUGAGGCAGCACCAGCUUCUGCUCUUCCUGGCACUCAGGCCUCCCCCCUUCUCACGUGCUCGGGAACCAGGGACGUCGUCCUCGCUGUGUGAAUGUGACGCUGGGCCAGUCUGGCGGCUGUCCAUGUGCACAUGCCGGACGGCGGGGCAGCUUUGUCCCCUCAGCGGGACGACCACAGGCCUAGCCCAAGUGGGUGACAGGCACUCAAGAAAUGUGAAGUCCCGUCCCCUUGGGUAGCACACAAGUAUUGUUAUCCCCUGCUGCGGCUCACCCUAGAAUGUGCUAGAAUACCCAUGAUAGAACUGGCCAGGCAGCGAGCAGAGCUGGCCGAGGAGCCAGGCUGGCUAAGGGGACCGGGGGUGUGCAGGUGGACACCCGUGGGGGACAGAGGGUAUUUGGCUAUGAGCUCCUGGGGCAAAUGGUAGGGAAUUCGGGAGGAGGAGGCUGGGGUCUUGGGGAGAGCAAUGCCCAUAGUCCAGGUCCACAGGGCAGCCAGACCAAGAAGCCACAGAAGUGCCUGGGCUGGAGGGGCAGUGGGCAGGGGACGCUGGGCCAGUCCCUCCUGCAGCCCCUAGGGGACCCAGGCUGCAGCAGGGCCGGAGCAGCCGGGGCCGGCACAGGGCUCCACGUGUGGGGGGAACCAGGCCACCACCAGGCUUUUGGGUCCCAAAGAAGUGUGACCUGCUUCCCUGGCAGGUCUGGUUGGAAGGUGACAUGACUUUGAGAAAAAUCAUUCUAGUGUCUAGAUUGAGAAUAUGAUUUACCCCGUUAGGCUUUUCUCUCUUUCUCUCUCUCAAAAGUUGGAAGAAACAGACAUCUUUCAGAGGCCCCUGGAAACUGUGGCUGUUGCCUAGAUGUCCGUAUGAAGAGAACAUUCCAUCUGUGGGGAGAAACAACUUAAACAGCUCCAGGGUGACAUUUAACCCCCAGCCGACCAUGUGGCCUUUGCAGAGUGUUGCUCUGUGGGGACAGAAGUGCAGCCCCCGCGGAGGUCUGGCAGCUCGCCUGUUAAUUCACACCCAGAUUCAGAGACCACCUCUGCGAGGCAGGCACCAGCAGUCCUUUGUGCGGUCUCAGGGGCUGGUGUGUUGGGUUCGGUUGUAAUUUUCCUUUAUUCUUUGGUUUGAAGAGUUCCUGCUGGGAAACCUCAGUGACCUUGAUUCUGCAUCGGGAGAGUAAAAGCCGAGACUCUUCCCGCGGGGACACAGGCUCCUUGCUGGAGAGCCAAGGUGAGAUUUCAGUGCAGCGUGGCUGGGAAGUUGAGCUGGUAAUUUGCAGGUGGCUGGGACAGGUCCGCUCUGACUGGGAGUGUCAGUCCGAGGACAGCCCUGUGGGGGCUUUGUGGGACGGGCCCCCCCCCCCCUGCUGUUGUCUGAGGGGGGUACAGAGGCCGAGGGCGCGGGUGUGUUUAUGCCAAGCUCCGCCUGCAGGAGCAGGGGCCCAGCAUCCGGGUCCCCUGGUCUGCAGAGAGGAUGAGGGGCACUGGCCUGGGCAGGUGGACAGGGAGUCCGCAUUGGGGAGCCUUCACUGCCACCUGGUGGACAGCCCAGAAAGGUGAUGGGGACACGUGGCAGGUGCAGAGAGAGGUGGCCAGGGCAAAGCAGGGCCCUGUCUGGAAUGUGCAGGGCGUCCUCAAGGACAGCUGGGUGGACAGGCUGCAGGAGUGGGUGGGAUGGUGACAGGGACGGGGCAGCCACAGGCUCCGGUUGUGGCAGUCUUCGUGCUUGCCCCUGAAUCUGGGCAGUGGCAGGUGGCCACCUCCGGGUCUGAGGGACUAGAAAUUCUCCGAUGUUCAAGGCCCAGCGAGGAAGGAAAGGUCAUACGUGUGAGAGGCGGCUCAGUGCGGCACAGACAUGGCCUGGAAUCCGUGCAGGAUGGGGUUACCUCUCCUGGCAGCUCUGGCUGCGUGAGGAAUCGUGCGCUGUAAUUCAGAGGCCCCUGUAACAUCUUGUUUUAAGAUUGAGGCGAAAGUCACGUCACAGAGUAAACUUUUAAAGUAUGCAGUUCAGUCCAUGUUAGAGGCCCCUGGUGCGUUCACGGUGCUGUGCCUCCUCGCUCUAGUUCCGGAAUACGGUCACCAGCGCCAAGGGAGCCCUGUCCCUGUCGUCAGGCGCCUGCUCCUCUCCGCCGAUGGCUGGCACCCAGCAGCCUGCUCUGGGCCCAUGGGCUUCUCGUCAGGGGAAUCCUACACCGUGAGACCUUUUGCGUUGGCUCCUUUCUUGGGGGCCCGCCUGUGGGGCGGCAGGUGUCAGCUCCUCGUUCCUCUUCACAGCGCGUCCCUUCCCAGCGGGCCCCGGGGGAACGUCCGCCCUUCGGGGCUGUGCCAACGCUCACACGCACGCUUCUGUUUGGACGCCCGUUCUCAGGCCCGCGGCGUGCGUCUCCAGGGGUGGGACUGCCAGGUCACAUGGUGACUCUAUGUUUAGCUGUUUGAGGAACCACCCAGCUGUUCCUCCUACUGACUCACGACUGCACGUCUCCACCAGCAACGCGCCAGGGCUCUGAUUUCUCCGUUCCUCACCAGCCCUGCUUGUUUGAUUUUUGAUUCUGGCCGUCCUGGUGGAUGGGAGCUGGUGUCUCAUUAUGGUUUAGUUUGCGUUCCCUGGUGCCUGACGACAAUGGGCACCUUGGCGUGUGCGUGGCACUUUUCUUAGAGGAGCCAGACUUCUCUAGAAUGUCAUAGCUUUAUUUCAGAACUCCAUCAGGGAAGUGAGACCUGGAGGCCAGACAUCUGCUCUCAGAGACUUCUGGCCCAAACUUGCCCUCCCCCCACCCCGCUAACAAAGGGACUCCCUGGACUCGGUUCAACUGCGUCCUGCAGCCCAGGCAGAGCCCAGAAGCAGCAAGGACCAUCGGCCACUGUGAGCUGAGCAAUUCCCGGGUGCCUUCCAGAUGGAGCCCCCGGGCCUGAAAAGGGUCCCAGGCUGUCCAGCACCUGAUGUCUGGGAGGCCCUGCAGCCCCUCCCCUGCCCAGUCCUCUCAGGAAGAAACAGGACAGCUGCCCUGAGACAUGCACAGUGAAUGGAAGUCCUGACCUGUUGCCCGCGGACACUUUGAGUGGAGCCCAGACCAUCUGCGGCCCUGGCAGGACCAGGCGGCCAGGUGGUGGCCAGGAGCCAGGGAGCUGGGCUCCAGCAACCUGCCCCAGGCAUCUGACCACCAGCCCCCAGGACAGAAGGGUUUAAACCGUGGAGCCACUGGAGUCCCCUUCUCAGUACGCCCCAUCGAAGGGGGCCUGCCGGAAGCUUCCUCACCAUGCCCCACGAAGAGCUGCCAAUAUCGAAGGCCCUGUGUUUUGUCCUUUUCCUAGUUCGUAGUGGGCACCCUGGCCUGCUGCGUGCUAUUCCCUCCUGGCCAGUGGGAGUCCGUUUCUGGAGUCUAAAAUUCCAAUUUGUUUCUAGUAGUUCAUUGCUAGUAAACAGAAAUGCAUAUGGAAUUUUGUACAGUGACCUGGUGGUCUGUGACCUCACUAAACCUGCUGGUUAGUUCUCACAGAUUUCCUGUAGGUCCCUUCGGGGUUUUCUGUGUCCACAGUCUUCUUAUUCUUCUUCCUUCCCAACAUGGGUGCAUCUGAUUUCUCUCUUGAUUAUGCUGACUAGGACCCCCAAUGUGAUGUCGAAUAGAAGGGGUCAGAGGGGUCCCCUUGCCUGGUCCCUGAUCUUAUGGGGGAAGUGCAUUCAGCCCUUUGCCAUGAAGCAUGCUGUUAACUGUAGGGUUUUGCAGAUGCCUUUAAUAGAGAAGUUCCCUCUUUCCCUAGUUUGCUAGGUUUUGUUUUUUUUUAAUAAUGGAUGUUGAAUUUUGUCAGAUGCUUUUCUUGCAUCUACUGAGAUGUCAGACUUUCUUCUUUAGUCUGUUGAUAUUGUGAAUUACACGGAUUGACAUCUGUAUGCUGAAUUGACCUUCUGUUUCCAGGAUAAACCCCAUUUGAUUGAUCUGAGAAUCAAGUUAUUCCCGGAUAAAGACCCUUCUUACACA